rnacentral:rRNA from 1 species
GAUGAACGCUGGCGGCGUGCCUAAUACAUGCAAGUCGAGCGAAUGGAUUAAGAGCUUGCUCUUAUGAAGUUAGCGGCGGACGGGUGAGUAACGCGUGGGUAACCUGCCCAUAAGACUGGGAUAACUCCGGGAAACCGGGGCUAAUACCGGAUAACAUUUUGAACCGCAUGGUUCGAAAUUGAAAGGCGGCUUCGGCUGUCACUUAUGGAUGGACCCGCGUCGCAUUAGCUAGUUGGUGAGGUAACGGCUCACCAAGGCAACGAUGCGUAGCCGACCUGGGAGGGUGAUCGGCCACACUGGGACUGGGCCACGGCCCAGACGCCUACGGGGGGCAGCAGUAGGGAAUCUUCCGCAAUGGACGAAAGUCUGACGGAGCAACGCCGCGUGAGUGAUGAAGGCUUUCGGGUCGUAAAACUCUGUUGUUAGGGAAGAACAAGUGCUAGUUGAAUAAGCUGGCACCUUGACGGUACCUAACCAGAAAGCCACGGCUAACUACGUGCCAGCCGCCGCCGUAA